CAUGAAUGUUACCAGUUUAACCACUUUAAAGUACACAAUUCAGAGACAUGUUGUGCCAACAGCACUACUGUCCAGUUUCAGAAUGUUCUCGUUGCUCAAAUGGAAACUCCCCACUGACACAUUUUAAACGAUAAAGUAACUUUCUGUUCC